rnacentral:rRNA from 1 species
AUUGAACGCUGGCGGCAGGCUUAACCCAUGCAAGUCGAGCGAGCGGCGGACGGGUGAGUAAUGUCUGGGAAACUGCCUGAUGGAGGGGGCUAACUACUGGAAACGGUAGCUAAUACCGCAUACCAUCAGAUGUUCCCAGAUGGGAUUAGCUAGUAGGUGGGGUAAUGGCUCAUCUAGGCGACGAUCCCUAGCUGGUCUGAGAGGAUGACAAGACACAUGGGAACGGAGACACGGUCCAGACUCCGACGGGAGGCAGCAGUGGGGAAUAUUGCACAAGGGGCGCAAGCCUGAUGCAGCCAUGCCGCGUGUGUGAAGAAGGCCUUCGGGUUGUAAAGCACUUUCAGCGAGGAGGCGUUACUCGCAGAAGAAGCACCGGCGAACUCCGUGCCAGCCGCAGCGGUAAUUC